GAACCGUUGCUCCUGUUUGCCAGUACUGUGAGAAAAUGUUGUUACCGGAGAGGUCUGGAUGCUAAAACAAAAGCUGCUUUUUUGUCGAACACGAGUGAGACUGGACUGAACACGAGUGAGACUGGACUAAACACUCCUGCAGCGCGAAGGUUUACUGAUUCAGCUGCUGCAGCCUGGACAGAAACACCAGCUCUCACCUUACAAGCCAAACAGGUGUCACCACUUCCUCCAUGAUCACACAGAGUCUUCAUACAAUGAAGAAGUUCUUAGAAAUCAGGACUGAGGCCUCCAGGAUUCAAACUUCAACCAUUAAAGCACAGAGAGGAGAGACAGACAUGAACACAUUUUCAGAAGGUCAGUG